AAAUUGAAGAGUUUGAUCAUGGCUCAGAUUGAACGCUGGCGGCAGGCCUAACACAUGCAAGUCGAACGGUAACAGGAAACAGCUUGCUGUUUCGCUGACGAGUGGCGGACGGGUGAGUAAUGUCUGGGAAGCUGCCUGAUGGAGGGGGAUAACUACUGGAAACGGUAGCUAAUACCGCAUAA
rnacentral:rRNA from 1 species